UGCAAGUCGAACGGUAACAUUUCUAGCUUGCUAGAAGAUGACGAGUGGCGGACGGGUGAGUAAUGCUUGGGAACUUGCCUUUGCGAGGGGGAUAACAGUUGGAAACGACUGCUAAUACCGCAUAAUGUCUUCGGACCAAACGGGGCUUAGGCUCCGGCGCAAAGAGAGGCCCAAGUGAGAUUAGCUAGUUGGUAAGGUAACGGCUUACCAAGGCGACGAUCUCUAGCUGUUCUGAGAGGAAGACCAGCCACACUGGGACUGAGACACGGCCCAGACUCCUACGGGAGGCAGCAGUGGGGAAUAUUGCACAAUGGGGGAAACCCUGAUGCAGCCAUGCCGCGUGUGUGAAGAAGGCCUUCGGGUUGUAAAGCACUUUCAGUUGUGAGGAAAAGUUAGUAGUUAAUACCUGCUAGCCGUGACGUUNACAACAGAAGAAGCACCGGCUAACUCCGUGCCAGCAGCCGCGGUAAUACGGAGGGUGCGAGCGUUAAUCGGAAUUACUGGGCGUAAAGCGCACGCAGGCGGUUUGUUUAGCUAGAUGUGAAAGCCCCGGGCUCAACCUGGGAUGGUCAUUUA
rnacentral:rRNA from 1 species